rnacentral:tRNA from 1 species
GCCCGCGUGGCCCAAUGGAUAAGGCGUCGGUCUCCUAAACCGAAGAUUGGGGGUUCGAGUCCCCCCGUGGGUA